rnacentral:sRNA from 14 species
GGAUAUGAGAGUCAUCUGACUAUGACAUCUGUCAUCCCAUUGACUUUCAGGGUUGAUUCAUAGGAUCUGGCUAACUAUGUAGGGCUCUCCCUCCUCCUUCAACACUCCAAGUAUAUCCUUCUUUAUAGAAGAUGAUGACCUCCCCAAAAUGGAGGGGGAUGGUUCCUUGGUUGAGGAUAUACACUCCAAGCAAGUUCUCAUCAAAGUAAGCUGGGCAAGCCAUGUAGAGUAAGCCAGUAAACAACUUCUUCAU